GCCAGCAUGGUGUAGUGGUUUGAGAGUUGGACUACGAACCUGAAGACCAGGGUUCGAUUCCCUGAUCAGCCA